CAAUGCCUUACCCGAUGUCUCGGGCCUAGAUUACGAGCCUCCUCCGCAUACAUGAUACUUCGGGACAUUCCCCGAAUAGAUUAAUACAAAUCCCUCAAGGCAUUCCCCGAUCAAAUUAGUACAAUUUCAAUUUUUGAACGAUAAAAUAGAACAAAUCAUUCACACACAUAUUCAAACACUCAACAAAUUGUUAUUCUUAAAUUUGCCUACCCAGCAUACCAUUUACAUGCCAAUUUCAUCCUAUCAUAAUACUAUCACAUUCCAACAACAUUCAUGCUUAAACCAAAUUAAACCAAAAUCAAUGAAUCUUAAUUCAUCCAAAUUCACCCUUUUUAUCAAUUUCUCAAUUCUGCCCCGAAUUUCCUCUUAUACGUCAAUUUUCACACAAAGCAAUUAUCCAAAUUCAUGCUAACAUCAAAUUCAUACCAUGAUUAAUUAUUCACGAAUAAAUAAUAUAGAACAUCAACAAGAUCAUCCAAUCAUAACCAAAAACACACAAUCAUAACAUCAAUGCCCUAAAUCGAAACAAAGCAAAAAGAGGGAGUCAAAAGGAUUGGAACUCAAGUGUCGAUUUCAAUAUAUCGGAGAUAGAACCGCAUCCGAAAUGCCUCAAUUUGAACCUCGAUAACCAACAACUCCAAACUCGAUAUCGAAUUCAACCGGACAGAUUUGGAAAACGACGAAAAACCUCACAAUGAACGACCCGCAAACCCGAAUAGAAAUCAAACACAACACAAGAUCUCAAAUUCGAACUCCAAAUCAUCGAUUUCCAACUAACCUUGUAUGAAUCUCGCCGGAAUCGGAGUAACUGUCAUCGUUUCAGCAUUUUUCAAAAUGGGACGGAGCUAAUGGAACUCCGACGAUCUCAAAAAGAACAGAAAAGGAAGAAUUAGAUCAGAUUCCGAGCGGCAGUAACGUUUUUCCGGUGAGACAUCGCCGGAACAGUCAACCACCACCUGUUUUCCCUCUUUCUCUCCUUGUUUUCACUCUCUCUCUCCGAUCUGUCUCACUCUCUCGAUUCGUGUUUUCUCCGGCCACCUCACUCCUCGAUUUCAAUCUCUCUCGCCUGCGUUUGUUCUCUCACUGAUUUUUCUUGGUCUUCUUCACUGUUCAGACGUGUGUGUGCGCGCUUAAUCCAUGGAAAAAUCCCAGAAAUAGAGGUCUGUGUGUGUUUGUGUGUACGUGAAUAUUGUUGUGUGUGAAUUGGAUGGAAAGAUAUGUGUGUGUAUAGGUGAGAUUUUUGUGUGUUGUGUGGGUGUAUGGAGGAAGGAAAAAUGGAGAAUUAUCUGUGUGUGCGUGAGUUCUCUGUUGUGUAUUGUGGAGAAAAAAAAUGGAGAGCCUUUUUCGUGUGUAAUGGUUUGUCCAAAAAUUAUGAGAGUGUAUAGUCUAUUGUUAAUUGUGUUUUGCUGUUGGAAAAAAGUGGAGUGGGCACGUGGAUGUGUAAGUUUAGUUGGUAGGAUUGGAUGAUGCUAGGUGGAGUAGGGAAUAGAUAGGGUAGGAUAGGGGUAGGUAGCGAUAGGGUAGGGAGAGAUAAAUGUGGAAAUAUUAAUUUUUGG
rnacentral:lncRNA from 1 species